rnacentral:tRNA from 1 species
GGGGAUUUAGCUCAGUAGUAGAGCGCUUGCCUAGGAAGCGUGAGGCGAGGCCCUGGGUUCGGUCCCCA